UUCCCGAAAUGCUGGCUCAAGUAGAGCGUCAGCUGGAAGUUGAAAGUCGCCAGCAGUAUCAAGCCUAAGAGGUUGUGCCACCAUCAUGCAAGUACAUCUCAAAAUUCUGCGUGUGACAGUUUACAUAUUCACAAAAGAACUGUUGAUGUAUUCCAAUAGUAACAAGUGUUUAUUAUAAAAUUUUUGAUCUCGCUGUUGCAGCAUUACAGUGGCCUCUGGCGGAUUUUGAACGGCUGCUGAUGGCCGAAAUGCAGCAAAAACAGUUGCCACCAACAGCGCCACCACAACAGUACCGCUGCUGCAUUGGCACCUAGAGCAGUGGUUGUCGCAGCAGGCUUCAGAACGCACCUGAGCGGCAUGCACAGCCGUGCAAAGCGCCACUUGUGGCUGCGCGAGACGCACUGGAAGUACAGUAGCUGCGGCCGCUGCAGUGCCAGUCCCUGCACCGUCGCAUGCCUUCUGGCGUCCAUGGGUGGUUCAAUCAGAGCAACAAUCUCCCACCGCCCAGGUCGGCUGUGGUGAAGGCUCCAGCAUGCAGCAGCAACGAUGAGCGCCCUCUCCACAGCAUGUGUGCUGCCAUAGCAGCUCACCGCCACCACCUCCUCCUACUCUGGCUCCGACUGUUCACCUUCUCUGGCAGCGAAAGGUAUCUGUGCAUCAGCACAGGCCUCUAACCUUAGAAGGCGCCUCCUCCCCAAUGCUGUCAUCCUCGUUUCUCCUGGGUGGUUUUGGGUUUAAAUAAAUGCAAACUAAAUAUUACGAUAAUUUUUAAAAGGAACCGACAAGUUACGCCAAGGAAGAAGAGAGAGAACUACAAUGAACGUGUUAUUCCAUGGACUCUUGCGCUUCUAUGCAUGAACUAUCUUUCCUUUGUCAUUCGCUUAUCUUACCUGCUUGGAUUCGGACCUAAGAGGACGUUCUUGCUGUACCAGCUAAUAAUGUGAGUUGUACUUAAAACCAGAAAUAUAUAUAUAUAUU